rnacentral:rRNA from 1 species
AAACCAACAGGGAUUGCCCCAGUAGCGGCGAGUGAAGCGGCAAGAGCUCAGAUUUGAAAUCGUGUUUCGGCACGAGUUGUAGAGUGUAGGCGGGAGUGUCUGCGGCGGGCAGUGUCCAAGUCCCUUGGAACAGGGCGCCACUGAGGGUGAGAGCCCCGUGGGAUGCUGCGCAAAGCUUUGAGACCCUGCUGACGAGUCGAGUUGUUUGGGAAUGCAGCUCCAAGCGGGUGGUAAAUUCCAUCUAAGGCUAAAUACUGGCGAGAGACCGAUAGCGAACAAGUACUGUGAAGGAAAGAUGAAAAGCACUUUGAAAAGAGAGUGAAACAGCACGUGAAAUUGUUGAAAGGGAAGGGUAUUGGGCCCGACAUGGGGAGUGCGCACCGUUGCCUCUUGUAGGCGGCGCUCUGGGCGCUCUCUGGGCCAGCAUCGGUUCUUGCUGCAGGAGAAGGGGUGCCGGAACGUGGCUCUUCGGAGUGUUACAGCCGGGGCCAGAUGCUGCGUGCGGGGGACCGAGGGCUGCGACUUAUGUCUCGGAUGCUGGCACAACGGCGCAAUACCGC